CAGGCACUAUUUGACCAAUACAAAUCCCAAUUAGGUACAUCUCUUUUCACAGUCAUGUCUACUAUCUUAGGUAUGUCUGAUUGGUAUUUUGAUUCUGCUUGUAGCAAUCAUAUGACAUCUAAUCCACAUCUUUUUUAUACUAAGACUCCUACUCUCUUUGCCCCUUUGAUACAUACUACUGAUAGCACCACUUUAUCUGUCACUCACACUGGUCAUGUCACUACCUCUACUCUAUCCCUUUCUCAUACAUUUUUGCUUCCUAAAC
rnacentral:lncRNA from 1 species